GAGGAAUAUUGGACAAUGGAGGCAACUCUGAUCCAGCCAUGCCGCGUGCAGGAAGACUGCCCUAUGGGUUGUAAACUGCUUUUAUACAGGAAGAAACAUCUCUACGUGUAGAGGCUUGACGGUACUGUAAGAAUAAGGAUCGGCUAACUCCGUGCCAGCAGCCGCGGUAAUACGGAGGAUCCAAGCGUUAUCCGGAAUCAUUGGGUUUAAAGGGUCCGUAGGUGGAUAAUUAAGUCAGAGGUGAAAUCCUGCAGCUUAACUGUAGAAUUGCCUUUGAUACUGGUUGUCUUGAGUUGUUAUGAAGUAGUUAGAAUAUGUAGUGUAGCGGUGAAAUGCAUAGAUAUUACAUAGAAUACCAAUUGCGAAGGCAGAUUACUAAUAAUAUACUGACACUGAUGGACGAAAGCGUGGGGAGCGAAC
rnacentral:rRNA from 1 species